rnacentral:rRNA from 1 species
GACGAACGCUGGCGGCGUGCCUAAUACAUGCAAGUCGAGCGGACAGAAGGGAGCUUGCUCCCGGAAGUCAGCGGCGGACGGGUGAGUAACACGUGGGCAACCUGCCUGUAAGACUGGGAUAACUUCGGGAAACCGGAGCUAAUACCGGAUAGGUUCUUCCCCCGCAUGGGGGAAGAUGGAAAGACGGUUUCGGCUGUCACUUACAGAUGGGCCCGCGGCGCAUUAGCUAGUUGGUGGGGUAAUGGCCCACCAAGGCGACGAUGCGUAGCCGACCUGGGAGGGUGGUCGGCCACACUGGGACUGCGACACGGCCCAGACUCCUACGGGAGGCAGCAGUAGGGAAUCUUCCGCAAUGGACGAAAGUCUGACGGAGCAACGCCGCGUGAGCGAAGAAGGCCGUCGGGUCGUAAAGCUCUGUUGUCAGGGAAGAACAAGUGCCAGAGUAACUGCUGGCACCUUGACGGUACCUGACCAGAAAGCCACGGCUAACUACGUGCCAGCCGCCGCCGUAACAC